rnacentral:lncRNA from 1 species
CCCAUGUCACGGAGGACAAAGUUGGGGUCUGGUCCAAAGAGUUCGGGUGAUUUGUCCAGGUUGGACAGGCAGGCGGCAGCAGUCCUUCUAGAACUUCGCUCUCCACUCUUUCCAAGAUCUUUGGAGAGAUCUCAGCUCCUGUUUCCCCCAAGGUACCCCUCAGCUCUGGAGCAUCUCUGUGGAGGUUGGCUGCUUCGCUGUUAUUCCCUGGCCCAGUGUAAGCGGCUUAGUACGAGCGGCUCGGUCACAUGCAUUCCAGCAGGCAGUCUGGGCACCAGCAGGAGAGGGCGUGGAGCCUCAGUGGGGUCUCAAGGCAGAAAGUGUUGAGAAAAGGGAAGCCAGACAUCAUGGACCAACUCUAGAGCCCUUAGGUCCAGGCUUCUGAGCCCUGCCUUUCUCAGCAGCUGGAAGGGAACUAUUCCCCCUCGCUCAGGUUUUUUGCGUCUGUUUAUUUGGAGAGUGUUGUUUCUAUGGGGCUAUGGCCAGUGUGGUUCUCCCAGGGGUCACGCGCUCUUAGAGGCAGGGCAGCGCGGUGACGAGAACUCCCCAAACCGGUGGCCCUGGGUGUCUCCUUAAUCCCUGGCCCUCCUGGUGUUCCCAGGCCCUGCCUAAUUGUCGCGUGGGAUGGCUGUGGGCUGGGCGAUGGGAGCUGCUUCUGCAAUCGGCUCCUGGGGAAUGGUGGGUGCGGUGCUUUGGGCAGUUCCACUGUUCCGGGGUCGAUUUUGCCACAGGUCCCCAUGGGGAUGAUGGCUGCUGGACCACACAGAAGGACCAACGAACAGAGCUGUCUUGCUCUCCCCUGAGCCAAGAGAAAGGAGUCAGCUUGUCAGGUCCGGGUGAUGAUGACCCUCUGGGGCAGAUUAAGAAUUUGCUGCCAGCACCCAGGCAUUAGGGGCAAGUGGCAGCAUGCCUCUGGGGAGAGUGGCCCUUCCCAGGCUGGGCAGACAUUUGUUGCAACUCUUAAUCAUUUCUUUAAAAGAAAAAAAGAGAAAAGAAAAAGGGAAAACAACACCACCACUCUCCAGCCAGGAGAAGGUCAUGUUUUUCCUCUUUUAGGGUUUGGUCGGGGCUGGGGAUUGUGCAUUUUUACUGGGCUCGUGUCCAGGCAAGAAUCCAGGAGAAGGAAGAGAGCGUGAUUUCAGUGAAGUAGGCAUCCUCAAAUGUUUGGGGAGAUGCAGAAACAGGCGGAGACGGUCCCACUGCCACGGCAUCGGAGACAGGUCCUUGGAGAAUGCAGGCAUUCCUGUCCCACCAUAGCUAUGGGGACUGCCCUGGCUGUGCUGUGACUCCUAGUAACUUCUGGAACGGGGAAGGCCAGGGACUCGAGCCUGAGUUGCCUCCUUGGCUCCACCUCUAACAUCCUGGGAAACCCUGAGGACACCCUCUCUCUGUGCCUCAGUUUCCCCUUCCAUACUAUGGAAACGGGGAGCUGUGGCCAGGUCUCCCCUGGGCUGUUAGGAGAGGUCCCUGGAGGCUGGAAGUAGGUCCAUAGCAGGAGGCUGCAGACUUGGGCUGGCUGCCUGGGUGGGCUGGGCGUCUGUGACCGACACCUCCCAGAAGGCCCUCUCCUGGACCUGUUCUGCGUGGCCUGGGUCCUCCUUGGUCUCCAUGUCCUCCGAACAACGAAGAAGAUACUGUCUGCCUCCUUCAUGGAGGCCAAACUCCUCCCACCGCUGCUGCUUCAUUCACAGGUCACCUGGUCAACACGGGGCUUCAUUCCUCCCCUCCUGUUUCACUUCCUGGCCGGCUGCUGUGCCACCCCUCCCUGUCACUGCACCCCAGGGCCCAUCGUGAGGCCACACUGUCUGCAGACCUGAAUGCAAAGGCCACGUGUGGCCACACUCCCAUCCUGUGCCCCGCUGUCGACGGGCAGGUGAAAAGGCACUGCUCCCCUCCCCUCCCCCCACCCUGGGCUUUCCUGUGCGUCACCUUUGCCGGCAGUGGCCAGUGGCCUGUCUUCCCAGCCCCCAGACCUCACCACCCCCUUCAUCUCUGUCCUCCCUCAAGUCCCAUCUCAGAUCCAGUCUCCGCACUGGAAGUCAUCCCCCUCUCCCCAGAAGCUGCUGGCAAGAUGUGCCUCUCCCUUCCUGAGCUUCAGUGCCCCCUACUCCCGGGCUUUUGUUAUCAUCUGUGGUGCCUCGGCUAGUGUACGCCCAGUAAGGGUCGCACCUGUUGGAGGACUUUUGUUCCCAGCGUUUGGUGCAGGGGGGGGCCGCAGGUGCCAGGCAGUGUUUGCGGAAGGGGCGAGCCGCUGGCGCUGUGACGGGGGCAGACGUAGGUGCGGCCGGUCUGAAGCUCACGCAGGUCCGCCUCGUCUUGAAGCAAAAGAACAGAGUAUUUUGAGCACAGAGUUAGCCAGGAGCCCUGAGAAAGACCAGCUCCAGGGUCACGGCCCCUCUGAGGUGCUUUUGAGGCCUGCCUCCCUCCCCUGCCCUCCCCGCAGCCCAGGGGAGCACCGAGGGAGGACCGCUGACAUGGGUGAGUGGGGAUGGACAGAGGGAAAGCAUCACGCGGAAAGGGACAGAAGGCAGACCCAGGACCCCAAGGGAGACCCUUGCCCCCUCUGCCGAGGCCUUCCUCUCUCUCCCAGAGCCUUGACUAAGUGUCUUUAUCAAAGCCUGUAAAUUCCACCCUCCGUUUGGCAAGUUCUCGCCCACCCCCUGCUCUGUAACCCCUUCCCCUGCUCCCCUCCUCCUUCCUUCGCCGCCUCCAAAAUCAAUUUUCAGCGAGAGCAGCAGGUUCUGCGCCAUCUGGGGCCGCUGGCAGCCUCCGCAGGCUGUAAGCAGCUCAGUCUGUUUCCCUUAAACCAGCCCCCGAAUUUCUCCGCCAUCCCCAGCCUGGUCUUCCCCCUCUUUCCUCUCUCAAGGAGGGAGAGGAGGGUGGCAUCCGGACCCUCGCGUUCUACUCCUGGGGACUCCACACAUCCAUCUCCGCAGUGCGCCCCUACCCACACGUGGGGUUUCAGAGUCAGAGCUGCCCUGGCCCGGUAGCCAGACAGAAGCCACAGCCACUUCCCCACCUGCAGGGAAGGACGGAUGCGUUAAUUGGCAGGAAGAGCUCAGAGAGGUGGCAGGUGGAGCCCAGCCAGGUUCAAGGAGGUGAACCUGCACUUGCCCUCCGUUCGCAGAGCCGCGGAAGCUGCGUGACUCCAGCCUGGUGACAGCACCAUGAGAGGGGCAGUGCCCUCGUCUUUCUGUUUGGGGGCAAAAAGGGAAAACUAGAAACCUCUUUAUCCCCCCUCUGUUGUACGGAACACCCCUCCGGCCCGGACUGGGACUAUUUUGCAGAGCCGAGACUAGUGUUGGAAUGUUUUGGUGUGUGUUUUUGAGACAGAGCCAACACAGGACACUUGCGGAGGUGACAACACCAAGCCACAUCUCACCCUUACCCUCUCCACCCACGCAGAUACGUUUUCAACUUUCACCUGCUUUCCCAAGUAUUUCUUAGCCUUCUGGUCAGAAAAGAGCAUUUUUAGGUGACUUCUUGAGCACAGAACCCCCUCACAGGUCCCCCGCCCCCUCCCAUCAUCACCCCUAUUAUUCUCUCUCCUGUGUCCUCAGUUAGCCUGCCAGGCACCACUGGCCACCGGUUGACACAGAAAAUACCCGCAAGAAAUAUGAUCCCAAGAAAGAAGAGAUAAAGGAAUCUUAGGUAAAAGUUAUUUGCUUUCAGAAUGUUCCCAAGUGACUGGAGGAGCCAAGACAUGAACUCAGAUGUCCUGAUAAAUGGACUGAUGCUUUGUCUGUCCUGGGGCAGCCAAGAGCCUACUCCCAAGAGAGCCCGAAUGGAGCAACAGGGCUGUGACCUAUUAGCUGGCACCUGACCUCCUGCCUCCUCUCUGUAACCUUGGGUAAUUACACCCCCUGCAGCCCUGGCAGCCUCCCCUUGCAGCAGGGAGUUGGCUUUGACCAUUAAGUUGUCUUCACGUCCUUGGCACGGAGCAGAGUGCAGCCCCCCACAUAGGUGCUCCCUAAAUAUCUUUUGAAGGAGACUUUAUUGGUUGGAAGUUCUGGGAAGGCGGUGACUCCCACCCCUGCACCUACUGGGUAGCAGGUGUUCAAUACACAUGAAUUUCUGCAAGUUACUUUUCCCGUGGUUGUAGAAAAUCAGUGGGAUGCAUUUGGAGUAGUGACAGAUUUUACAAAUCACCAUCAGGUACUUUGGGUGGUGCAGGGGGUUGGGGGGAAGAUAGAGUCCACAGCAGUCUCAGAGGAAUCACCCAUGCUGAGGCCACUGGUGAAGGGGUGCUGUCCCCUCCUAUUGCCCUUUGCCCUGCCCUCCGCUCUCUACCAUUGUGUAUGUCUCUGCAAUAGACACUAGGGAAAGGUACAGAGUUCUUCUCACGUGGUCCUGCAAUCUAGCUUGGGAUGGGAAUUCCCUUUUAUGGGAAAAGUUCUCACUCUCUGAGCAGCGCUGUAGAGGGAUGGCUGAAUGGGUGACCUCCGGAUGCUUUGAGCUUGCCAGGACAAUCCUGACAUUCCUGCAGGGCAAGGUGGGCUGCUUUAGGAAUCAACACCAGUGACAGCCAAAUUCCUAGGGGACUGAAAGAACAUGCACAGAGGCCAGCCCAGGGAAGUUCAGUGGGCUUUUAAGAAGGUCCUCGAAAGGGCAACAAGGUAGAAGGGAGGGAGGGAUGGGCCCGCUGGGUCCAGGUUCAGGUGCAGUGAAGGAAGAAAGCCUGACCACCCCUUCUCCCUCCAUCAAGGCCAGAGUAUUUCUCUGCCCUAUAUUUUCUAGGGGAAACAUUAAUCAAAUUUCCAUUCUAGUUUUUUUUUUUUCCCCAUAGAUGAUUGCCACAUUUGUGCUUUUUAACACAUGUUUUUAAGAUG